GAGUGGCUAGCAAUAGGGUUAGCAGAGUCUAAUUUACAUCCAGAGUGGCUAAAUUACGACUUGUGAAUCUAGUUUCGGGCCUUAGUUACAAUUUGAAGGGUAAUUUAUAUGAAAGAUUAGCAAAGGAAAAACAAUAGAUAGUUCACCGACAGUCACAUACUUCGAAAAACACUCAUCCCAAAAAUUUGUGUAUCACCAAAGCAC
rnacentral:lncRNA from 1 species